rnacentral:rRNA from 1 species
CUACGGGAGGCAGCAGUGGGGAAUCUUGCACAAUGGGGGAAACCCUGAUGCAGCGACACCGCGUGCGGGAUGAAGGCCUUCGGGUCGUAAACCGCUUUUCUGAGGGACGAGGAAGGACGGUACCUCAGGAAUAAGUCCCGGCUAACUACGUGCCAGCAGCCGCGGUAAAACGUAGGGGGCGAGCGUUAUCCGGAAUUACUGGGCGUAAAGGGCGUCUAGGCGGCCCCAUAAGUCUCGCGUGAAAGCUCCCGGCUCAACUGGGAGAGGGCGCGGGAAACUAUUGGGCUAGAGACUCGGAGGGGGGUGCGGAAUUCCCGGUGGAGUGGUGAAAUGCGUUGAGAUCGGGAGGAACACCAGUAGCGAAGGCGGCACCCUGGCCGAGGUCUGACGCUGAAGCGCGAUAGCGUGGGGAGCGAACGGGAUUAGAAACCCCAGUAGUCC